rnacentral:rRNA from 1 species
GAACGCGAAGAACCUUACCCGGACUUGAUAUCUAACAAAUCAUCUAGAGAUAGAAGAGUGUCUGCUUGCAGAAAUGUUAAGAUAGGUGCUGCACGGCUGUCGUCAGCUCGUGUCGUGAGAUGUUGGGUUAAGUCCCGCAACGAGCGCAACCCACGUCAUUAGUUGCUAACAGUUUAGCUGAGCACUCUAAUGAGACUGCCUUCGUAAGGAGGAGGAAGGUGUGGACGACGUCAAGUCAUCAUGGCCCUUAUGUCCGGGGCGACACACGUGCUACAAUGGCAUAUACAAUGAGAUGCAAUAUCGCGAGAUGGAGCAAAUCUAUAAAAUAUGUCCCAGUUCGGAUUGGAGUCUGCAACUCGACUCCAUGAAGUCGGAAUCGCUAGUAAUCGUAGAUCAGCCAUGCUACGGUGAAUACGUUCCCGGGUCUUGUACACACC